GGUUAUACAAUGUUUAGCACUUCAGACUCUGACUCUGACAAUCUGAGUUCAAAUCUCAGUAGGACCU
rnacentral:tRNA from 1 species